ACAAAGGAGACAUUGAUACGAUGUAAAUUUAUAAAAGAUUCACACAGAAAUCACAAAUUACUCCCGAGAAAUGUGCAUGAAACAGGAAAUUCGAUUUAAAAAAAUCGCUAAGAUGACCGUAAAUCACAAUCGAGAUGACCGUAACAGAAUCAGCAAUUCAUAACAAGGGUGACCGUAAUUGGCUAAAAGAUGACCGUAAUUUAUAAAUGAUGACCG
rnacentral:lncRNA from 1 species